rnacentral:ncRNA from 1 species
GUGCUAUACUAGUAAGGUUGAAUGAAUCAACCCUUGGUGCUUAGCUUCUUUCACCAAGCAUAUUUUACGUGGACAACCCGCCAAAGGAGAAAAGAUG